AAUGGUUCCUCCGCGAUUAGCAUUCUGCUUAAGACAGUUUAGCCAUAUACCCCAACAAAGACUAAGUAAUGCAUAUGAUUUAGGAUGAUGUGUGUUAUAAAUACGGAUAUAUUUAUGGAGAACAAUGGACAAAUUCUGUGAAUUUCUUGAAUUUACCUUUUUUUUUUUUUUUUUUAGGUCUUCCAUUUGGGAAAGUAAACAAGCAGUGAAGCAUAUUAGAUUUUAGAAGCCUGUAGAAAUAUUGAAGUGGGUCAUUUUUACAAACUGUGAACAGAAAACAAACAAACAAACAAACAAACAAACAAAACAGAGUUCACAUUACUCUUACUCAUUCAAAAAAUCAUGUCCCUGUGAGUUGUGUUAGGCACAGCACUGCUAACUGGUCAAUGAAAAUGGCUCUCCUGGACUCUGGGUCAGAAGGUUCAACUUCUACUACCAUACCACUGCCUGCUUCUGACAUCAUGGGCAACAUGACAAAAUAGGAGGUAUUAAUUUCAGAGCUGCUCUCCUAGUUUUUCACCUAAACCCUCCAGUUCUGCUACAUUUUUUUUUCCUGAUUCUCUUCCCCAUCCCAGUGUGAGGGGAGGGAGAGAGGGUGUGGAAGACAGGCUGUGUGGGGCUUAGCUGCCUGCUGGGUUAAACCACAACAUUUGAGUGGUUUGUUUCAAAAAAAGGACUUACUGAAUUGUUUGAGCUCAGUAAGACUAUGUGUAUUGCCAUAGCCAGCUUACUAUUAUUUGGUAUUCUCAGCAUGUUUUGUCUGCAUUAUGCAGAGCCAAGUAUAACAAAAUUCUGGUCUAUGACAGUAUGUAAAGUUACUUCUAAGAAGAGAAAUAUUCAAAGAAGUUCUUUUGCAAAUUUUGUUUCUUUGUGUUGAUUUGUAUAUUCCCCUGCUUUGCCUCCCAUGGAUUCGAUAAUAAGUAAAAAUAGAAAACUUUACCCAAACCAAAUUAAGCAUCCUUGCCCCCUGACCUUUCUGCUUACUGUAGUCUUCAGAACUGUUAGUGUAUUUGAGUGCAUACUAGACUUGGUCUUUAUUAUAAAGGAUAUCUUAUCAGUGAUUGAUCAAGCUGAUAUCUAAUGUAACGAAAAGAAAAAAAAGAAGAAAUAACGAUGUGUUGAUGAAGCCAUAGCUACAAACUUUUUUUUCCUGAGUAGUUCAAAGUUGUACAGUUCCAAUAGUGUUGAUGAGAUGAGCAUGAACUUUGUCCCACUAUUUUAAUACUUUACAGAUAUCACUGUCUUACAUUUUGUGGUGAGAAGAAAUGUGAAUUUUCUGUUAUCUUGGUGUUUGCCAAGAUAAAACACAGAGUCAUCACUUCAAAGAUCUAAACUAGUUUUACUGCUUUAGUGAGAUCAGUUCUGAGUCCAUGACUAUUUUUCCAUAUGUAUAUUGUACUACUUUUGUAAUGAAAAUUAAAUAAAAUAAAAUUAACCACUGAAGAAACCAUGCUUUUUCUCUCUAG
rnacentral:lncRNA from 1 species